UUUUCCCCUGGCCCCUCCCUCCGCUCCUCAACGCCCGCCGGGUGCAAUCUGUUCUCUCCGGGAGAUGAACGCGAAGCGACGUGGAAACCCUUCCACCAAAAUGAGCUGUGAUAUCCUUUUGAUGGCUAUAAUUUAUUCCAAAUCGUCCCUGGACUGAAACGAUCAAUUAGCAGCCCGAAACGCACUGUGAAGUAAAUUGUCACACUCUCUAUUACAGGAUGGUUAUCAUAUAUUUAUAAGGUGUGUUUUCUGCAAUCAGAACCAACAAGGUGUUGAGCGAUCAGUCAUAAACGCACUUCUUCAAAAAGAGAGGGAGAGAAGCUCAGCAUUGUGUGGCGGGGGAAUAAUCCUCAUGACAGUUCCCUCCCCACCCAGUGAUGUUUUGUCUUGGCACCUGGGAAGUGCAGUGAGGGCUGGAGCUCUGGACGGACUCUCUUCGCCACGCGUGCCCCUGGAAGCAGGGUCCCUGUGAAUUACGGAGAGACCCCAGAUGAGAGAUUUCCUUAUUGUAUAAACACAAAUCAGUCAGUUACCACCUGCCAUCUAGCGAAACAGACCUCACCCAAGGUCAACGAUGGCUACUAAGCUUAGGGUUGAUGGGGGAAGGUGGAUGCAGCAGACCCCAGGGAAAACAGAGCACCCUGAGGAGAAGCCAGAGGAGGCCAGAGGCCCUUGUCUCAGACAUCCAGCUCUGAGAGUGAAAUGUUGCUUCCUAAUGGACUUUAAAUUACCAACAUCGCUAAACUCUCCCUUAAUAGACUUGUAAAGAUUUGCUUGCUACCUUUUUCCCCCUUCAUGUAGAAUUUGUAAUCAAGAGCCCAAUUUUGUCAUUUGGAAAUACUAAUUAUCUAAUCACGGCAUGCUGUAUAACGUACUUGUCUGCCCAAUUAGCUAGGACAAUUAUUAAAAUUCAGAGGCCUAAUUAUGUCUCAAUUUAAUGCUGGCAAACUUGCAUACAGAGCAGUAAUUAAAAUCCUCUCUUUCCCUCUGCCUUUAGGGCAGGGGAUGAUUAGGCCCUGUCAGGGGGUGUGCUGAACCAAACCAGUGAAGCGUAUUGUGCAACAUGACCCUGCAUUGUUAAGUGUGUCAACAUAUUAACCUGAAUUCCCUUCAGCCCCCACAUAAUCACAUUUUGUGGAAGAAUAAAGGAGCUAAAACAUGAAGAAUUUUAUUUAAAAAACAUAAAUUCUUUUUAAUUAA